rnacentral:rRNA from 1 species
UGAGGAAUAUUGGUCAAUGGGCGAGAGCCUGAACCAGCCAAGUCGCGUGAAGGAAGACAGUCCUAAGGAUUGUAAACUUCUUUUAUACGGGAAUAACGGGCGAUACGAGUAUUGCAUUGAAUGUACCGUAAGACUAAGCAUCGGCUAACUCCGUGCCAGCAGCCGCGGUAAUACGGAGGAUGCGAGCGUUAUCCGGAUUUAUUGGGUUUAAAGGGUGCGUAGGUUGUUCGGUAAGUCAGCGGUGAAACCUGAGCGCUCAACGUUCAGCCUGCCGUUGAAACUGCCGGGCUUGAGUUCAGUGGCGGCAGGCGGAAUUCGUGGUGUAGCGGUGAAAUGCAUAGAUAUCACGAGGAACUCCGAUUGCGAAGGCAGCUUGCCGUACUGCGACUGACACUGAAGCACGAAGGCGUGGGUAUCAAACAGG